AGUGAACGCUGGCGGUAGGCCUAACACAUGCAAGUCGAACGGCAGCACAGUAAGAGCUUGCUCUUACGGGUGGCGAGUGGCGGACGGGUGAGGAAUACAUCGGAAUCUACUUUUUCGUGGGGGAUAACGUAGGGAAACUUACGCUAAUACCGCAUACGACCUACGGUUGAAAGCAGGGGAUCUUCGGACCUUGCGCGAUUGAAUUAGCCGAUGUCGGAUUAGCUAGUUGGCGGGGUAAAGGCCCACCAAGGCGACGAUCCGUAGCUGGUCUGAGAGGAUGGUCAGCCACACUGGAACUGAGACACGGUCAAGACGCCUAAGGGAGGCAGCAGAGGGGAAUAUGAGACAAUGGUCGCAAGCCUGAUACAGCCAUACCGCGUGGGUGAAAAAGGCCUUCGGGUUGUAAAGCCCUUUUGUGGGGAAAGAAAAGCAGCAGGUUAAUACCCCGCUGUUCUGACGGUACCCAAAGAAUAAGCACCGGCUAACUUCGUG
rnacentral:rRNA from 1 species